rnacentral:rRNA from 2 species
UGGGGAAUAUUGCACAAUGGGCGCAAGCCUGAUGCAGCCAUGCCGCGUGUAUGAAGAAGGCCUUCGGGUUGUAAAGUACUUUCAGCGGGGAGGAAGGGAGUAAAGUUAAUACCUUUGCUCAUUGACGUUACCCGCAGAAGAAGCACCGGCUAACUCCGUGCCAGCAGCCGCGGUAAUACGGAGGGUGCAAGCGUUAAUCGGAAUUACUGGGCGUAAAGCGCACGCAGGCGGUUUGUUAAGUCAGAUGUGAAAUCCCCGGGCUCAACCUGGGAACUGCAUCUGAUACUGGCAAGCUUGAGUCUCGUAGAGGGGGGUAGAAUUCCAGGUGUAGCGGUGAAAUGCGUAGAGAUCUGGAGGAAUAACGGUGGCGAAGGCGGCCCCCUGGACGAAGACUGACGCUCAGGUGCGAAAGCGUGGGGAGCAAACAGG